UGAGAUAUCUUGUUUUUCAUGUGAAUUAAUUAUUUAUCUUGUCGAUAAGUUCAUUUAUUUGUUGCCUUUUAAACACCAAUUGAGGUUAUUCUAUGAAAUCAUUUCCAAAAAAGAUACCUUCAAGUGAAAAUAGCAGAGUUUUGGUAAGUUUUCUUGACAAGUAGGGAGACUGCUUUUUGUCCUAAGAGUCAUAUGUAGCACUAUACUCGUAUGGGAUUUGAUAUCAAUUAGCACAACUAGUUCUAAAGGUAUAUCCAUUUUGCGAGACUUACCAAGGAGGAAUUAAUACGCAGAUAUUGGAUCAUGUUCAGCAGUAAGGUGAAUGUUAGAUUUUUCAUGUCUUCGAAAAUGUUUCCCGAGAAAUACAGAAGAUGCUUGAGAUAUUUUCUUCAGUGUUUAGUUUUGAUUAAACAUUGUUACAUUAAGGUGGUGUUAUGUGAGCCCUUCCCCGUUAUACAUCUUUACUUCUAUUUUACAAAAUUUUCACCAUCCUCUCCAUCGAGCAUGCAUAGAAGGUGUUGGUCUAAAUGAUUUACCAAUAACCUUUCUCUAACUAGGGAUGUCUAGGAUUAGGACUUUCGAUAAAUCGAGGUCUGCUUGGCAUGAUCCACUCAUGAUCCUCAAAUCCGUUUCUCUGCCUCAAAGAUUUCAUCAUUUUCUUCAAGUGUAUAUACAAAACAAAACUAGAUGGUGAAACAUGCAUUUAUUAAUAUCAGAACUAAUUUACUUAAAAGGAGACAAUCAUAAACUGUGAAUGGAAUUGUUAACAAAAUACCCCAAUCGACUAUUUCCUCAUGUUAUUAGCUUGAUGCUAACAGGUACACUACAGAGCUAUUAGAUUUUUCAUGUCAUAGGUAACAAUGAUUCCUAGGGAAUAGGGGAUGCUCGAUGUGAUUUUUCAAUAUAAAGUUUUGAUAGUAACAUUGUUGUGUCAUAGUGUUAAGGUCUCGUGUAUGAGACAUUCUUGUUUUACAUCUUUAUUUCCAUUUUACAAGACUUACUACAACAAGUUACUGAUACAGAGAUAUCUAUCUUGUCUAGAAGUAAAAGCGAAUGUUAGAUUUUUCAUGUCAGGGGAAAUG
rnacentral:lncRNA from 1 species